rnacentral:rRNA from 1 species
CAGUCGCCGCGGGAAUACGUAGGGUGCAAGCGUUGUCCGGAUUUAUUGGGCGUAAAGCGAGCGCAGGCGGUUAGAUAAGUCUGAAGUUAAAGGCUGUGGCUUAACCAUAGUACGCUUUGGAAACUGUUUAACUUGAGUGCAAGAGGGGAGAGUGGAAUUCCAUGUGUAGCGGUGAAAUGCGUAGAUAUAUGGAGGAACACCGGUGGCGAAAGCGGCUCUCUGGCUUGUAACUGACGCUGAGGCACGAAAGCGUGGGGAGCAAACAGGAUUAGAUACCCCAGUAGUCCCUGUCUCUUAUACA